AUGUAGCCCAGGCUGGCCUUGAACUCAUGGUGCUCCUCCUGCCUCAGUGUCCAGGCCCACCCGGUAGGAGUCGAGCCUUGGCUCCCUGUCUCACGGCUGGCAAGACUGAGGCAGGCAGAGGAUGCAGCGCUGGAAGGCGGCGGCCCUGGCUUCCGUGCUCUGUAGCUCCGUGCUGUCCAUCUGGAUCUGUCGCGAGGGUCUGCUACUCAGCCACCGCCUGGGGCCCGCGCUGGCCCCGCUGCGCCGCCCCCCUCGCACCCUGGACGCCCGGAUCGCCCGCCUGGCCCAGUACCGAGCGCUGC